GAUGAACGCUGGCGGCGUGCUUAACACAUGCAAGUCGAACGGAAAGGCCCAAGCUUGCUUGGGUACUCGAGUGGCGAACGGGUGAGUAACACGUUGGUGAUCUGCCCUGCACUUCGGGAUAAGCCUGGGAAACUGGGUCUAAUACCGGAUAGGACCACAUUUUGGAUGGUGUGGUGGAAAGUUUUUCGGUGUGGGAUGAGCUCGCGGCCUAUCAGCUUGUUGGUGGGGUAAUGGCCUACCAAGGCGUCGACGGGUAGCCGGCCUGAGAGGGUGUACGGACACAUUGGGACUGAGAGACGGCCCAGACUCCUACGGGAGGCAGAAGUGGGGCAUAUUGCACAAUGGGCGAAAGCCUGAUGCAGCGACGCCGCGUGGGGGAUGACGGCCUUCGGGUUGUAAACUCAUUUCGCUAGGGACGAAGCGUUUUUGUGACGGUACCUGGAGAAGAAGCACCGGCUAACUACGUG
rnacentral:rRNA from 1 species